AACGCGAAACCUUCCUUCGGGAGGGGAGUAGAGUGGCGCACGGGUGAGUAACACGUAGGUAAUCUACCUUUGGGUGGGGAAUAACAGCCGGAAACGGCUGCUAAUACCGCAUAAUGCAGCGGCUCGACAUCGAGACAGUUGUUAAAGCGGGGGAUUCGCAAGAACCUCGCGCCUAAAGAGGAGCCUGCGGCAGAUUAGCUAGUUGGUAGGGUAAUGGCCUACCAAGGCUACGAUCUGUAACCGGCCUGAGAGGGCGGUCGGUCACACUGACACUGACAUACGGGUCAGACUCCUACGGGAGGCGGCAGUCGGGAAUUUUGGGCAAUGGGCGAAAGCCUGACCCAGCAACGCCGCGUGAAGGAUGAAAUUUUUCGGAAUGUAAACUUCGCAAGAACGGGAAGAAUAAGUAGAAGAUAAUACCUUCUAUGAUGACGGUACCGUUUGUAAGCUCCGGCUAACUCCGUGCCAGCAGCCGCGGUAAUACGGGGGGAGCAAGCGUUGUUCGGAUUUACUGGGCGUAAAGGGCGCGUAGGCGGUCGUGACAAGUCACUUGUGAAAUCUCCGGGCUUAACUCGGAACGGUCAAGUGAUACUGUCGGACUAGAGUACAGAAGGGGCAACUGGAAUUCUCGGUGUAGCGGUGAAAUGCGUAGAUAUCGAGAGGAACACCUGCGGCGAAGGCGGGUUGCUGGGCUGAUACUGACGCUGAGGCGCGAAAGCCAGGGGAGCGAACGGGAUUAGAUACCCCGGUAGUCCUGGC
rnacentral:rRNA from 1 species